rnacentral:rRNA from 1 species
CCUACGGGAGGCAGCAGUGGGGGAUAUUGCACAAUGGGGGAAACCCUGAUGCAGCGACGCCGCGUGUGGGAAGACGGUCUUCUGGAUUGUAAACCACUGUCCCCAGGGACGAAAUUGACGGUACCGGGGGAGGAAGCUCCGGCUAACUACGUGCCAGCAGCCGCGGGAUUACGUAGGGAGCAAGCGUUUUCCGGAAUUACUGGGGGUAAGGGGCGCGUAGGCGGGGGUGCAAGUUGAGUGUAAAAACCACCGGCUCAACCGAUAGUCGCACUCAAAACUGCAGCUCUUGAGUGAAGUAGAGGCAGGCGGAAUUCCUGGUGUAGCGGUGAAAUGCGUAGAUAUUAGGAGGAACACCAGUGGCGAAGGCGGCCUGCUGGGCUUUUACUGACGCUGAGGCUCGAAAGUGUGGGGAGCAAACAGGAUUAGAUACCCCUGUAGUC